UACGAAGGGGGCUAGCGUUGCUCGGAAUCACUGGGCGUAAAGGGCGCGUAGGCGGACUUUUAAGUCGGAGGUGAAAGCCCAGGGCUCAACCCUGGAAUUGCCUUCGAUACUGGGAGUCUUGAGUUCGGAAGAGGUUGGUGGAACUGCGAGUGUAGAGGUGAAAUUCGUAGAUAUUCGCAAGAACACCAGUGGCGAAGGCGGCCAACUGGUCCGAUACUGACGCUGAGGCGCGAAAGCGUGGGGAGCAAACAGGG
rnacentral:rRNA from 1 species